GGGCAGAGGUGACAGGUGGUGCAUGGUUGUCGUCAGCUCGUGUCGUGAGAUGUUGGGUUAAGUCCCGCAACGAGCGCAACCCCUAUUGUUAGUUGCCAUCAUUCAGUUGGGCACUCUAGCGAGACUGCCGGUAAUAAACCGGAGGAAGGUGGGGAUGACGUCAAAUCAUCAUGCCCCUUAUGACCUGGGCUACACACGUGCUACAAUGGUUGGUACAACGAGUCGCAAGCCGGUGACGGCAAGCUAAUCUCUUAAAGCCAAUCUCAGUUCGGAUUGUAGGCUGCAACUCGCCUACAUGAAGUCGGAAUCGCUAGUAAUCGCGGAUCAGCACGCCGCGGUGAAUACGUUCCCGGGCCUUGUACACACCGCCC
rnacentral:rRNA from 1 species